rnacentral:rRNA from 1 species
CCUUACCUACGUUUGACAUACUUGGCAAAUCCAUAGAGAUAUGGAGGAGGUUAACCAAUGUACAGGUGGUGCAUGGUUGUCGUCAGCUCGUGUCGUGAGAUGUUCGGUUAAGUCCGGUAACGAGCGCAACCCCUUUCUUAUGUUACUAACAAUUAAAGUUGAGGACUCAUGAGAUACUGCCUGGGUAACCAGGAGGAAGGUGGGGAUGACGUCAAAUCAUCAUGCCCCUUAUACGUAGGGCUACACACGUGCUACAAUGGCUAUUACAAAGGGUUGCCAAACCGCAAGGUGGAGCUAAUCCCAAAAAGAUAGUCUCAGUUCGGAUUGAAGUCUGCAAUUUGACUUUAUGAAGCUGGAAUCACUAGUAAUCGCAGGUCAGCAAUACUGCGGUGAAUGCGUUCUCGGGUCUG